rnacentral:tRNA from 1 species
UCUCUGGUGGCUCAGAGGGUAAAGAAUCUGCAUGAAAUGUAGGAGACCCAGGUUCAGUCCCUGGCUUGAGAA